GGUAAGGUGACUGAGAACUUAAGUGGCGGAUUGUAGCUCCGUAAACAGAGGUCAAAUUCCUCUUCUUACCA
rnacentral:tRNA from 1 species